GAUGAACGCUAGCGGCAGGCCUAAUACAUGCAAGUCGAACGAUAGAAGAGGGCUUGCUCUCUUCGAAAGUGGCGCACGGGUGCGUAACGCGUAUGCAACCUACCUUAAUCAGGGGGAUAGCCCGAAGAAAUUCGGAUUAACACCGCAUAAAAUCACAGUACAGCAUUGUACAAUGAUCAAAUAUUUAUAGGAUUAAGAUGGGCAUGCGUGACAUUAGCUAGUUGGCGGGGUAACGGCCCACCAAGGCGACGACGUCUAGGGGAUCUGAGAGGAUGACCCUCCACACUGGUACUGAGACACGGACCAGACUCCUACGGGAGGCAGCAGUAAGGAAUAUUGGUCAAUGGAGGCAACUCUGAACCAGCCAUGCCGCGUGCAGGAAGACAGCCCUCUGGGUCGUAAACUGCUUUUAUUCGGGAAUAAACCUACUUACGUGUAAGUAGCUGAAUGUACCGAAGGAAUAAGGAUCGGCUAACUCCGUGCCAGCCGCCGCGGUAA
rnacentral:rRNA from 1 species